GAACGCGAAGAACCUUACCUACUCUUGACAUCCAGAGAACUUAGCAGAGAUGCUUUGGUGCCUUCGGGAACUCUGAGACAGGUGCUGCAUGGCUGUCGUCAGCUCGUGUUGUGAAAUGUUGGGUUAAGUCCCGCAACGAGCGCAACCCUUAUCCUUUGUUGCCAGCGAUUCGGUCGGGAACUCAAAGGAGACUGCCGGUGAUAAACCGGAGGAAGGUGGGGAUGACGUCAAGUCAUCAUGGCCCUUACGAGUAGGGCUACACACGUGCUACAAUGGCGCAUACAAAGAGAAGCGACCUCGCGAGAGCAAGCGGACCUCAUAAAGUGCGUCGUAGUCCGGAUCGGAGUCUGCAACUCGACUCCGUGAAGUCGGAAUCGCUAGUAAUCGUGGAUCAGAAUGCCACGGUGAAUACGUUCCCGGGUCUUGGUACACACGCA
rnacentral:rRNA from 1 species